UACGUAGGGUGCGAGCGUUAAUCGGAAUUACUGGGCGUAAAGCGUGCGCAGGCGGUUCGCCAAGUCAGGUGUGAAAUCCCCGGGCUUAACCUGGGAAUUGCGCUUGAAACUAGCGGGCUUGAGUGUGGCAGAGGGGGGUGGAAUUCCACGUGUAGCAGUGAAAUGCGUAGAGAUGUGGAGGAACACCGAUGGCGAAGGCAGCCCCCUGGGUCAGCACUGACGCUCAUGCACGAAAGCGUGGGGAGCAAACAGG
rnacentral:rRNA from 1 species